rnacentral:rRNA from 1 species
AGCGAACGCUGGCGGCAGCCCUAACACAUACAAGUCGAACGCCGUAGCAAUACGGUGUGGCAGACGGGUGAGUAACACGUGGGAACAUGCCCUUAGGUUCGGAGUAUCUCUGGGAAACUCGAGCUAAUACAGGCUCAGCCCGAUAGGGGAAAGUUUUUUCUCCGAAGUAUUGGCCCGAGUCCGGUUAGCUAGUUGGUGAGGUAAUGGCUCACCAAGGCGACGAUCGGUAGGUGGUCUGAGAGGAUGAUCAGCCACACUGGGACUGAGAAACGGCCCAGACUCCUACGGGAGGCAGCAGUGGGGAAUAUUGGACAAUGGGCGCAAGCCUGAUCCAGCCAUGCCGCGUGAGUGAUGAAGGCCCUAGGGUUGUAAAGCUCUUUCGCCAGGGACGAUAAUGACGGUACCUGGAUAAGAAGCCCCGGCUAACUUCGUGCCAGCCGCCGCAGUAACAC